rnacentral:rRNA from 1 species
CGCGUGCCUAAUACAUGCAAGUCGAGCGGAUCAUUGGGAGCUUGCUCCCAUUGGUUAGCGGCGGACGGGUGAGUAACACGUGGGCAACCUGCCUGUAAGACUGGGAUAACACCGGGAAACCGGUGCUAAUACCGGAUAAUCCUUUUCCUCUCAUGAGGAGAAGCUGAAAGACGGCGUAAGCUGUCACUUACAGAUGGGCCCGCGGCGCAUUAGCUAGUUGGUGAGGUAACGGCUCACCAAGGCAACGAUGCGUAGCCGACCUGAGAGGGUGAUCGGCCACACUGGGACUGAGACACGGCCCAGACUCCUACGGGAGGCAGCAGUAGGGAAUCUUCCGCAAUGGACGAAAGUCUGACGGAGCAACGCCGCGUGAGCGAAGAAGGCCUUCGGGUCGUAAGGCUCUGUUGUUAGGGAAGAACAAGUAUCGGAGUAACUGCCGGUACCUUGACGGUACCUAACCAGAAAGCCACGGCUAACUACGUGCCAGCAGCCGCGGUAAUACGUAGGUGGCAAGCGUUGUCCGGAAUUAUUGGGCGUAAAGCGCGCGCAGGCGGUCUCUUAAGUCUGAUGUGAAAGCCCACGGCUCAACCGUGGAGGGUCAUUGGAAACUGGGGGACUUGAGUGCAGAAGAGGAAAGCGGAAUUCCACGUGUAGCGGUGAAAUGCGUAGAGAUGUGGAGGAACACCAGUGGCGAAGGCGGCUUUCUGGUCUGUAACUGACGCUGAGGCGCGAAAGCGUGGGGAGCAAACAGGAUUAGAUACCCUGGUAGUCCACGCCGUAAACGAUGAGUGCUAAGUGUUAGGGGGUUUCCGCCCCUUAGUGCUGCAGCUAACGCAUUAAGCACUCCGCCUGGGGAGUACGGCCGCAAGGCUGAAACUCAAAGGAAUUGACGGGGGCCCGCACAAGCGGGUGGAGCAUGUGGUUUAAUUCGAAGCAACGCGAAGAACCUUACCAGGUCUUGA